CGGUACCAACCAACCACCACCACCAUCUACCAAAGCCAGCCAGUCGAGUAGAGAGAGCCGUGUGGGAAGGACCCUGUUACUCCCUGCUCCGAAGAUUCUGGUCUUCGAUUCUCCUCCCUGGGUUGAGAAUCGACGCUCUCUUGGAUUAUAACGCUGGUGUUAACCGUUACAAGUGUCCGGGAAGUUGUAUCAAGUGUUAGAGGAUAUUUUGUGGUGAAAGCUUUUUUAAAAAAAGAAAAGGAAAAAUAUGCGAAUUGCCCAAAAUUUUUGGUGCUAGUGUAUUAGCCAAGGUUGAAAUACCGGAAAUCUGUUAAGAGUUUUAUAGAUUCCAGGUUAAAGUCUGGAAUACCCCCAAAGUGCGGAUCGCGGGUUCCAGCUGAUAUUCUAAACAAGAAUUCAGGAAAUUGUGUUCUUUUAGAUUCCAGGUCAUUUCUGGAAUACCCUAAGUGUGGAUCCUGGAUUCCAGCUGAUAUUUAACCAUAAGAAUUCAGCGAAUCUGUGUGCGUUUAGGAUUCCAGUCUCCGUCUGGAAUACCUACCAAGUGUCCGCGUCUGAAUCCAGCUGAGAUUUAACCUGGAAUUACUUCGGGAAUCAUCAUCAUCAUCAUCACUGUACCUCCAAACGACGCCUGCUGGAAUGAGUAAUCCGUCGCUUCACCAUCAGUCGGUGCCGUUAUUAUUAUUAUUAUUAGUAUUAUCAUAAUGAUAGUUUGCAAACUCGUAAUGGAGAUUUGCCUGUGAUCGAAAAAAUAAUAAAAGUUGCCGGAAAAAGUGUCUCAGUGCGAUUAAGCUGUGGAAAAAUUGUAGGAAAUUCAUAUAUAGAAAUUAUUUCAAUUUCGUUUGAUUAAACAGAUGCUUUGACCUGAUUCUCUGCCGCCAUGCCUCUCCGACGUCAUCCCGAUGACGAGAAGAGAUGAUCCCCCGCAAUGAUGGACGAGGAGUCACUGGUGUGAGAGGGCGCCGCCCCCUUUUUGUUUCCGAGUCUUUUUGUGAUCAUUAUUUUUCCGUUGGGGGUGUGGGGGAAUAGAGGGCGAUAAAUAUCUAUUAUAAAAAGUGGGUGCUUGAUAUGAACGGAAGAGGAAAAUCAGAUGAAAAUAAUUAAUAAUUAAUAAUAAUAAUAAGAAAAUAUUAAUGAAAAUUGAAAAUCAUCGAGUCGUGUGUUGAAGACCGUACGAGGACCUAGUGGGAGACGUCUCAGAGAUUGUAUACAGACAGGCAGGCGUCCCGUCGGAGGAGAGACAGAAGAAGAAGAAGAAGAAGAAGUUGUAGACGAAGGCGAGGAGUCCUUCUCAUCCUACGCCAUGUAUCCUGCGGCUAUGAACGCCGCUGUGGCCGCAGCAGCCGCCAGCCGACACCCGGUGAGUUUAGCGGGUCCACAGCCGGGGCAGCCCUUCAAGUUUACCGUGUCCGAAUCCUGCGACAGGAUGAAGGAGGAAUUUAAUUUCCUGCAGGCGCAGUAUCAUAAGUGAGUAUCCUAUUUUAUC